UGGACCAAUGAUGACAACCAUUGCCAUCCGAGUCACGGACGAUGAACAGUUUGUGUCUGGAAGUCUGAGGUCCCA
ensembl:snoRNA